rnacentral:piRNA from 1 species
UCCAAAAAGCUUUCCUUGUGUUUAUGCC